GAGAUCCCACCUCCACCUCCCAGUCAGACUUAACACCUGAGAACUCCUCUAAAUGACUGUAGGAGCAGGUGGGUCUAGACUCCGCCCACCGCCACGACACCGACCAGAGAGGAAGAGAGAAGUGAUGAAGGGAGGAGCAAAUGGGGGGGAGGUGAAGAAGGGGAGGAGGGGGAGGAGGGAGGACUCUUCCCUUCAGCUCUGAUACAGUGUGUGUGUGUGUGCGUGCGUGCACUAACCCUAUAGUGGAGCUGAAACGAGCUCCUAUUGGCUGAUUGAACAUCAGCUGACUGACCUUUUCAUCAAGUGUCAGAAUCGUGUCCAUGUGACGGCGAGAUCACGGAAAGAGUGGCGGUCUGAUUCGUCCCCGCUCCCUGGACGGCGUUUUUCAGUCACAGAUGGUUAGAAGGAACCCGGGGAUCGUUCUGCCGCCGUUUCACCUUAGCUAGAGGCCCCGUGAGGACGCUCCACGCCGUCUGAUGUCUCCACUUAGGACAGAGCGCCGGGUCAUGGCGAAGGCGGCGUCACAUCAGAGGCCGAGGUCUGAAACACGUCUUUGUGUUUCUUCGUUUUUUUGUUCACGCCGUUGUCUGUUUAUGGCGGUGUGUGUUUAUGGCGUUGUGCGUUUAUGGCGGUGUGUGUUUAUGGCGGUGUGUGUUGGUGUCAGCGGCGGUCUCUGGGGCGUGCGUGUUAACCGUCCUCUGGGUGCGUUCACAGCGAGCGGCUCACGCGCUCAGUGACAAAGUGUUGAGGUUGCAUCUCUGUCGGGCGGCAGCGGCGGCGGCGGGAUUAGAAAACCCCUCUGAUGAUUGAUAGAUUUAUUUGUCAUCGCUGUCUGGACGGCGGCGGUUUACAGCACGCCAAAGCGGGGUCCAUUAAUCAGUGUAAAUAACACUCUGCUUAUACACACAUCAGGAGUCGGCG